rnacentral:lncRNA from 1 species
UCUGUACAUGAUCAUCAUUAUAUAUGUUAUUUUACCGUUGGUUUUAUCUCCUUGAUUUUGCAUCGUUGGAUUUGAAAUCGAUGAAUUUGUUAUAUCUGAGAUACUGUUAUUUAUUUAUGUGAUUUUGAGCAUGAAUAUGUUAUAUCAAUACAUAUGUAUCAGCGAUUGAUGGCAUGAUUAUAUGGGUAUGACAUAUUUAUUACAUUGCAAAAUUUGAAUUGAUUAAUGAAGUCAAAUAUUUUAAUUUCAUGAAAAUGAAAAGAAAGAGAAAUAUGGUUUGGACUGGCCUUGUCAUGUGGAAUAGCUUGCCAGGAGCUUAUGCCUGGAACAGUCCCCACAGGCUUAUGUGUGGAAGAAUAAUAUGAUCCGAGAAAGAUCAUGAAGAAUCUGAUCCGAGAAAGAUCAUGAAUGAUUUGAUCCGAGAAAGAUCAUGAAUAUUUCGAUCCGAGGA